CAGAUGUGGCAGACCAUGUUCUUGGCUUCUAAGCUUUUGUGUGAAUAUGGUGAACUGAGAGUAAUGGUAAGGAGGCAGGAAUUAAUAUUUAAAGUGGAAAGCAAUACUUGACAUAUUGAAGAAACCCUCCUCAGGGCCAACAGACCAUUGAAUAGCUGAGAUAUUUGAAGGACAGCAGAACGGAGCUUGAACAGCUUCACCCUUUUUACAGCACAAAGCUCCCCACGGAUAUCAUAAACCCACAUAAGCUUGUGUUUUACAGAAUAGUGAAUAACGCAACAUUUCUGCUGGAACUGGAUUCCAAGGAAGAUGGUGGCAGAGAGAGCAAGUGCAGUUGACCAGGGACAGACUUUGGGGCAUCUCUGAGAGCUCCACCCCAUCCCCUUAUCAACAAUCCCGAUUCUGAGUAAAGAGCUAAUUUUCAAAAGCCUUUGAUAUGAAGACCAUUUAAUUUAAAUGUAGUGUCAAUGUACAGUUUAAUAAAUGACAGGAGAACUUUGCACUUGCUCAAAGAAAGGUAGCGAAGGUUUUAUGAUAAUGGAAGAUGCAGGCCAUUGCUUCGCGAGUUCCUUUCGACUGUCCUAGUUCCAACCACAUGAAUAAACUUUGCUCCACCAAAGGUUAGAGUUUGAUGUUCACUGAUAGCAGUGUUCAGUUAUAUUUGCUGUUCUUCAGAGUGCAGCAAGACCUCCAGGUGUGGACUGAUACACAUUUUGAAUAUCAAUUGCCAUUUAAGUUUUGGACAAUAAAACACAAAUAAUCUCUUUGUUCAUGUGUCAUUGUUUUCAAAUUCCUUGCCAAAUUUAUUCUAGUUACGUAUUGCACUUAACUGUAAACUUAACUAGGCCAAUCAACUUAAGUGAACCUGUCAAAGCAGG